GCACUUUGUGUUUUUAUUUCACAUUUCAAACAGUAUAGAAGAGAAGGAAGAGUCGGGGAGCCACAACACAUGUUUGCUUUAUGUUGCUGGUUACCACAAGUCAUGGAGGUCCACUGUUACCUCCAUACAUACAGCAAUCUAAACAAUGAUUGAUCCUGUUUAAUGUCAUGCUCGAAGAACUGGGAAACGACCUACAAGGUUUGCUGUAUACUUCUCUGCAGCUGCUACAAGAUAGGCAUGUCUUAACAACAAUAACAGCCUUUACCGAGAGUUUCUACCCCUGAGCUAACCAUUCAGAACAGAAGAAAAUAUGUGUUUGCAGUUACUAAUUACAAAGCAGCCUUAUGGCCCUUUGCAUAGAAGUAACAGGAACUACACUUGAGUUGCUAUCUGAUCAUAUACACAAUGCACAAAGCACAAUACAUCAUGCACAAUGAACACUGAAUGUGGAACAUUUGAAGAUGGAUCACCUUUAAAGAUGUCAGCGAUCCAGCAAUGGUCUGGGCUUUCCAGACCCAUUGUUAUAAGGGCUGUGAUGGCAGGUUUGGGAUAUCAGCUGACUGGACCAGAGCAGUUACUACCAAGAAACAUCCUGCAAUUUUGAAUUGGGCUUUCAAGAGGCACCAGCUAUAAUGAAUAAAUACCCAACACCCACGUUAAAACACUAGUUAUGUUUACUUCUACACAUACUUAGCAAUUUAAUGAAUUUAUUAAUAUGAGUCAAUUCCUCUUUUCAUGAUCACAAGAGCCUAGACAUCAAUUUAGGCAAUAUUAGUGAAUAAAUUUUAACUCAUGCCUUUCUCAUUAUUUUAGAAUCAUGGAGAUGUAUAGCACAG